rnacentral:rRNA from 1 species
UACGUAGGCAGCGAGCGUUGUUCGGAAUUACUGGGCGUAAAGAGUGUGUAGGCGGUGCUCUAAGUUCGGUGUGAAAUCUCCCGGCUUAACUGGGAGGGUGCGCCGGAAACUGGAGUGCUCGAGCGUGGGAGAGGAAAGCGGAAUUCCUGGUGUAGCGGUGAAAUGCGCAGAUAUCAGGAAGAACACCAAUGGCGAAAGCAGCUUUCUGGGACGGUACUGACGCUGAGACGCGAAAGCGUGGGGAGCGAAUGGG